GACGAACCGUGCGAACGUUGUUCGGAAUCACUGGGCGUAAAGCGCACGUAGGCGGAUUGUUAAGUCAGGGGUGAAAUCCUGGAGCUCAACUCCAGAACUGCCUUUGAUACUGACGAUCUCGAGUCCGGGAGAGGUGAGUGGAACUGCGAGUGUAGAGGUGAAAUUCGUAGAUAUUCGCAAGAACACCAGUGGCGAAGGCGGUUCUCUGGGCCUUACCUGACGCUGAGGAGCGAAAGCGUGGGGAGCGAACAGG
rnacentral:rRNA from 1 species